AUGGGACCAUGAUUUACCCUAUAUAGGUUGGCAGCGAUAGAUUAGCAGUGAUAGAUUAGCAGUGGUAGGUAGGUUGGCAGCGGUAGGUAGGUUGGCAGCGGUAGGUAGGUUGGCAGCGAUAGAUUAGCAGUGAUAGAUAGAUUAGCAGCAAUAGAUUAGCAGCGAUAGAUUAGCAGCAAUAGAUUAGCAGCGAUAGAUUAGCAGUGAUAGAUUAGCAGUGGUAGGUAGGUUGGCAGCGGUAGGUAGAUUGGCAGUGGUAGAUAGGUUGGCAGCGGUAGGUAGGUUGGCAGCGAUAGAUUAGCAGUGAUAGAUAGAUUAGCAGCAAUAGAUUAGCAGCGAUAGAUUAGCAGCGAUAGAUUAGCAGUGGUAGAUAGAUUGGCAGCGAUAGGUAGGUUGGCAGCGGUAGAUAGGUUGGCAGCAGCGAUAGAUUAGCAGCGAUAGAUAGGUUGGCAGCGGCAUAGAUUAGCAGUGGUAGGUAGAUUGGCAGUGGUAGAUAGGGGAUCUAAUAGCGAGCCAUC
rnacentral:sRNA from 2 species